AUGUCAUCAGCCAAGGAGACAAAUGAUAUGGAAGGUUCUGGAGCAUAAUGUUCUUUGAGAGGAUUGCUCAAAUAUUUGAUAGAAUUGUCUUUGGUCAUCUGUCUUUUUACACCUCUUGGUGUUACACUUAUCUGCCCAGACUUUAUGUUUUGGUUGGCAGUCAUCAUAUUUCUAAUCUGUAAUAUUCUCGUAUAAAUCACUCAGUACCUCUGUAAAAUUGUUUCAAUUGGGUGUGCUAUGCAACUUGGAAUUAAACUCAUCUGUCAAAGGAAAAUGCAGUUUCAAUCUGUGAAGAUAAUUCAUAGGUAAGAUUUAACAUCCCAGGACGGAAUCUGCACUUCUAUCAGAUAUAACUUUGAUCAUGAAUUAUAGAAAUUAUAAUUGAAAAAAAUUAUAAAAUUUAUGCUGUUAGAAAGUAUGUGUAUUCUACUUGAAGGUAUUUAAUUGGCAAGACUUCAACAAAUUAUAGUCAAUGUUUAAUCAAUUUAAGUGAAAGUCAAACAAGUCAAAAAUUAUACCCAUGUAGUAUAUGGAGAAUUUGAAAUGAAUAAUUCAUUUAUGUUGAAAUGCUCAUUUUUAUAAGAGCAUAGAGUUGAAAAAUAACAAAAAAUAUUUCGACGACAGGAGAAAAAUAUAUUAACUGAAAUUUAGCUACAACAAAUUCUCGAACUACAACAAAUUCUCGAACUGUUAAUUACAACAUGAUCCAAAAAUAAAAAACGAGCUAAUAACAAUUUUUUUUGAUAAUACAUAUUUAUAUGUCUUUCUGAUUCGUUUUUGACUAUUUUUUUUUAUAAUAUAUACUUAUAUGUCUUACAAAUCAGUAGACGAGUGUAAAUUGAACACGGGCCCGGGGAUGACAUAUGAAAACAAUAUAAACUCAUUUUUAUGAAAUUCUUAUACGAAGGAUUUAUUUGAGCCCAGAAGUGUUGAUUACUAGCAUUUCAAGUGAAAUCGUUCUGCCCCAUUUCUGUGAGUACCCUUUAUUCUUUGUUUGUUAAAUUGCCCAAAUUUCACUUUUUCUAUGUAGAAUUUGGUUUUUGAUUGGUAUAUAUAUGCUCUGUACGUCUGUUGUUUCCAAUUGAAUGUGAUGAAAUUGUAUGUCCAGUGAUGCAUUACUAGCUUUAAUUGUACUAUUUAUUAGCAUUUCAUAUGAAAUUGAUCUGCCCCGUUUGUGUGAUUGUUUUACCAAUAUGUUCCUUCUCUUAGAGUUGAGAUCUGCUUGUCUUUCGAUUCUUGAUGAUGCUACUUGUAGAAAUUUAAGUAUUUUACUACCCAUUUAAGUUCAGGCAUCUGCUUUUUCUUUAUGUUGGAUAUUCGAGAUCAGGUUCUCGCAUUGGUAUAAUUAUCUAAUAUCUGUGAAUUAUUGAUGGUUCCGAAAAAAAUGAUAAACUAUGAAUCUGUGUUAAAGGGGUGUGCAGGAGAGAGGGAGGCAGGAGCAGCCGUUUUUUUUUCUUUUUUCUUUUUUAGCUUUAUAAGAUAUUAUAUAGAAUUAGAAAAGAAUAUGAGAGAAAGGGGUAUUUUCGGGUCUAAAAGAUGAACAAGUCGUGUAUGUGGGUAAAGCUAACUUGAGCAUGAUAUUCGUACAAGCAAAUUGCUUAUCAAGAGUAGGCAAAAUGAUUCCAAUAGGUAUACACAUAAAGCAAAUUGUGAAUAAGGCACAAAUCCAAACAAUAUCUAAAACAAGAUUAAAAAGGAUAUUAAAAAAAGGUGAUAUAUGUUAAAGCCUCAAGGUGAACUUGAAAUCUUUGGUUGUAUUGGUUCAUUAGGUCAGAUCACGAUAAUGAGGGAUUGGUUGAAUAUACAAAAAAAUGUGUUUAAAAAGAUGUAUGUUAAAAGCAAAAAAGGAUCCUGCAUUAGUAUGUAAUAUGAGUUAGACCAGGUCAAACAUGAAAUGGGUUAAAAACGAUGGAUUUUUAUAAACUUGUUUAAAUAGUACUCCCUCCGUCCCCCUGAGUUGUAUACAUUGGGGGACGGGUACGCGGCACGGACUUUAAUGCUCCUGUUUUACAUAGUUCUAUAACUUAUUUUUAAGAAUUUUCUUUUCUGAAUAAAAGUUUGAAUGUUAUAUUUUUAUUCAGAAAAAGAAAAUUUUAAAAAUAAGUUAUAGAACUAUAUUUUACAAGAGCAUUGAAGUGCGUGUUGAGCAGUGAAAAAGAAACGUAUAGAAUUAAAUGGGACAGAGGGAGUACUGAACAAAAAUAAUAAUUGGAGAGCUAAAGAAAAAGAUGGCUUUGUAUAGAAGAGGAUUCUAAAUUGUUCAUAACUUUUUUCGGUAGUUUGUUCCAGAAAAGGAAAAAGAACUUUUUGGUAUGUAUUAACAUAUAUUUCAGUAUAUGAUAAAAUAUUUAUUUUUUAAUGAUAUACAGUUUGCAUGGUGUGUGCGAUGCUUGUAAAGAUCAACUGAGAAACAAUUAGUGAAAUAAUUAAACUCGAAUAAAUUAUUGUCUUUUAAAACAAAUAAAUAAAUCCAACUACUACUAGAACUAACUCCAGUUUCCAAUAAAAAUACUAAUGAAACUAAUAGUUGAGCGGGGCUAUAGGCUAUAGCCUCCAAUAGUCCCCAAGUGCAUUGUCUAAUAUAUGAUUUUCACAUGCAACCCCCAGUUUUUUCAAAUUUCAUUCUUAUAUCUUAUGUUUCCAGUGUUGAGUAUUAUUUUAUCCACACAGUACUCAUAAAUUCUCAUGCUAAGAAAUAAAGAAGAGUCAGUCUUAUGAUUAGUGUUUUAAGAAAAUUUAGCUUUUAUUCUUCAUAAGCAAAAAUUGAACUACUACUAACAGUAAUUCAGUUUCUAUCAGACUACAGAACAAGUAUUUGAAUUCAGAAAUUCCUGGAGCAAAGGUGAAUUGUGCUUUGCAGAUGCGAUAAAAAAGAUGGUUAGUUAUCACUACACACAAACUCUUCUUCUACCAUAUUGUCAGGAAGACUUUGCUUUAAUUAGUAAAUCUAAUAGAAUCUUGUAGACCUUUGCUUUCUGUUUUGUAUUUUCACACUAUAAUCUUUAAACUUUUUACUGAGUGUUGUUUGUUUUUGGUUUCUUAUCAUGUAGAAAUAAUUUUUUAUUCAGUCAACUUGUUAAAAUAACUGCUUGACCUGCACUUUUUGACUGUUCACUUGUUGCUACUCCAAAUAACUGUCUAAAAACUUUGAUGGCUCUCAUGAUUCAAAAUGGCAAGACCAACAGCACUGCUUUGACUAUACAUAUGGUUAUACUUUUAUAAACUGGCUUUCUUUCAGUAUAUCAGAAAGUUACUAGAAGCUCUCCAUAUUUGUACUUGAACUUGCCCCCCUUGGUCUUAAAAGCUAUGUCUGAAUCGUUAAUUUGGUUCUUAGUCCUGUAUUUGUUGUAUCCUAUAUAGCUGAAUCCUUCCCUUUUAUACAUUCUUUGUAGGAAAAAGAAGCAAAGAAGGAAGCUUUUAGGAAGUAUUUAGAGUCUAGUGGAGUUGUUGAUUCUUUGACAAAAGGUUUCAUCUUCUUAACUGUUCCCUUUUACUUGUAACUUAGUUAUAAUGUAGUAGGUCCCUCCUGUCUAGGUAAUCUUUUUGUUGUGCCUUAUAUCUCAUGGCAUUUUCAUUGAUUCUAUUACUAUAUUUUAUUUAUUAUUUUUAUAUAGUUUUUAUUUCUUUUUUUACUUGUAGUACUUGUGGCACUUUAUGAGCAGAAUGUAAAGCCUUCCUCGGCCAUUGAGUAAGCUUGCAUUUUUUUCUCAGCAUAACUUCUUCAUUUCAUUUUCGUUUUGUACAUUAACCUGGAAAACAAGGCCAUUUUCUGCAGCUCAUCAAAAUUGGCUAUGUUCAAUAGUCAGACAUAAAUAUGAAUUUGGGAUUCUUGCAAUUUUGAUAAUUUGUCUAUUAGAUUUACAUUUUUUGUGUUGUGUGGUUGUGACAGUAAACAAAUGUCUUGUGAUAUAAUGACCUUCAUCCUGGUUUUCCAGGUUCAUCCAGCAAAAAAUGGGUGGUCCAAGUUUAUCCGACUAUGAGAAGCUACAAGCUGAAAUGUCUGAUUUGAAAAUUAAGCAUAAAGAGCUUUUGGCAUCACAUGAAGAGAAGUGCAGGGAGGUAGGCCUUGAGUUCAUCAUUGUUUCAGGAAUAAGUUUGGAUUCAUUGUCUUCCAUGCUUGUUUAUCCAUCCCUUUGUUUCUAAUACAGCUAAUUGUUUUAGAAUAAUAAGCUCUGUUACAAAGUAUAAUGACAUGCCUAGUACCAAGAUGUCCAGAGGUCUUAUGAUGUAAACUUGUAAAAAUCAUGUGAGCUGCAACCAAAAGGUUGUCUUGUGGCCUUGUAUCAACAAUAAUCGUUUUCUGUAGUGUAUUUGAUGGUGUGAAUAAGCUGUUUAUUUAGCCACUCUCUGCCGAGUGACGUGAUUCAUCUGACAUUCUUUCUCUAUGGAUUGCAGCUUGAGGAAUUAAAAAGCUCUUUAACCAUGUCAUCAUCAGCCAAGGAGACAGAUGAUAUGGAGGUUCUGGAUCAUAACGUGCUUUGAAAGGAUUGCUCAAAUAUUUGAUAGAAUUGUCUUUGGUCAUCUGUCUUUUUACACCUCUUGGCCGUACAAUUAUCUGCACGGACUUUAAGUUUUGGUCGGCAGCCAUCAUAUUUCUAAUCUGUAAUAUUCUCGUAUAAAUCACUCAGUACCUCUGUAAAAUUGUUUCAAUUGGAUGUGCUAUGUGUAUUGUUCUUUAUAUGUCUUGCAAAUACACAAUGUUUGUG
rnacentral:lncRNA from 1 species